AUUUACUUAAAAUUUAAAGAAUUUGGCGGUAGUUUAGUCUGUUAGAGGAACCUGUUUUAGUUGAUCGAUAAACCACGUAGGAUCUUGCUUAUUUUACUUUAAUGGCUUGUAUACCAUCAUUAUCAGAUAAUUUUUAAUAUAAAGAUGACAAUUAUUGAAAUAAAUUAUAUCAAAUAAAUUAGAUCAAGGUGCAGCUUAUAAAUAAGUUAAAAUGGGUUACAAUAAAAUUUAUUUAUUACAGAAUAAUUUUUUAAAGUAGAGUUAAAGAAGGAGGAUUUAAUUGUAAUAUAAAUUUAAUAAGUUUAUGUGAUAAAAGCUCUAAAUUAUGUACACAUCGCCC
rnacentral:rRNA from 1 species